rnacentral:rRNA from 1 species
GGAGCUCGCCCCUAGGUGGAGGAAGGUGGGGAUGACGUCAAGUGAUGAUGGCCCUUACGACCAGGGCUACACACUGGUACAAUGGCGCAUACAAAGAGAAGCGACCUCGCGAGAGCAAGCGGACCUCAUAAAGUGCGUCGUAGUGCGGAUUGGAGUCUGCAACUCGACUCCAUGAAGUCGGAAUCGCUAGUAAUCGUGGAUCAGAAUGCCACGGUGAAUACGUUCCCGGGGCUUGUAGACACCCGCCCGUCACACCAUGGGAGUGGGUUGCAAAAGAAGUAGGGUAGCGUAAGCUUCGGGACGGGCGCGUACCACUUUAUGAUUCCAUGAGUGGGUGAAGUCCCAUCAUAGCACCG